AGGGUCCAGACUGAUGGAAUAGCUCCAAUCUGGGACAUGAGAAUCUCAUGCAAGAGGGGAAAAGAGCAGAGGCAGAACCUUGUGAUGGCUCUUCAAGUUCCUGCUUAGAUAAGGUCCACUUCCCCUCAGGGCCUUGACUUAGCAUAUGAGAAUUACUGGGCCUGAAGAGGCAACUUUCUCCCAAGUUCUGCUGCUCUAAAAGUCACAUCCUGGGUCUAGUCUCAGCUCUGCUGUCCAACCGCGGGAGGGAAAAAGGGCAGGCUCGAUGGCUGAGCUGAAGGCAAGCUUGGUACUUCCCUCAAGCAGCAGGGCAGCUCGUGGACCACAGAAUGCUGCCAGGCCCUCCACAGAAUGUACCCCACAUCCCUGGCUCUUCCCUGAGAGAGGUGAUUGGUCUGCUGUCAGCGUUUUCUCCAAAUAGGGCUGACAUUGGACUGCAGGAGGAAGGCAAGGUCCUGGGCCUUAUGCAAAGAAAAGUGUCCUGGAAGUGAAUACAUACAUUCCUGCUGCAUGGGCUUGAUUAUCAUCACAGCAGCAACCACCAAAAACCGCUUCUCAAGGCUCUAAUACCAUCAAAGGAAUGCAGUGUGAUCUAUUGUGGAAACUAUGAAGUCACGUAAAAUAGACUCACUUGAGAGAGAAUCAGGCUGGCAGAGGUGGUCACCAACAACUUGGAGAAGUGAAGCAAAGACAUCCAAAGCUGCAAAAUACACUGAAAUCCAUCUUGGGAGAAGAAUAUCCUGGUGUCUGUUUGUUUCCUAGCCCCAGGAAGCCUGGCGUCCCAGGAUCUGCCUCUACUUUUUGAAGAGCUUACCUGCAUUGAUAUCAGAGUUCAGGAUAAUUCCACUCAAGGCAGAUUUCUCUCCCCAAGAAAUUCUGACUCACAAAUUGGAGGAGCCUGAUUAAUCAGGAGGGAUUUUGCGGCAAAUGCCAUCAGACAUCCCGCCAUCCCCUUUCAGGAGGGGAGAAGCCCUGCUCUGGCUGGUGUCACCCAGCAAUCAGGACCACCUGUAAGGAUGCAAAGGUGAGAGCCCCCACUGACAUGAAGAUGCACCUUUGGAUUCUGAGUCCUGCCCAGAUCUAAAUCCCAGGAGGUAGCAUCACUCCUCCAGCAGUAGGACGUGGCAGUGCCCUGACAGGAACGUCGAUUCCAACCAAGCAGAAAGCUCAAAGCUGCAGGAAGCACCAGGCUGUAAUGCAAGCUUUCUACCUUUGCUGUGAUGAAAACUUGUUCAGGUCCAAAUGUGGAGCCCGGACACCUUUCAUUGAGAGCAGCCCUGACAUGGUUCUGCUCAAAUAAACUAAAGAUCCCGUUUCCAAUGAUUCAUUUGAUAGAAACAUCAGGAUCACUGAAGCAUGGAUUGGCCUCUGUGAUCCCUCUUCGAAAAACACAGACAGGGAUCAUGAGAUUGUUGAGAUAACAAGAAAGAAGAAAUGGCCAGUUUUUUUCUCUUUCUUUCUUCUUGGCUUUUCUGGCGGCGCUGGCUCCUGGCAUUUGGGGUAACCCACGAGUGUUAGAGAUGACAAUAAAGAAGAGAUGGGAUGUAAAGGAUUACGGAAAAGCUCAGGAGGAUGCUCACCCCAACCCUGCGUAUUCGUUACCCGCACUCAGGACAGGAGUCCUGGCCACCGCUUGGAUCUGGUUCUUGGGCUAAGGAGCUUCUGCUCUGAGCUGGCAGCAGACACCCAAUAAGGUCUCAGUGACAGGGCCCUGCUAAGGGAUAAGGAAGAUACGUGAGGACCCAGGGAAGAGCAGCCUGCUGACUACAAGUUCCUCAAGGGCAAGGACCACGUCUGAUGAAUGUCCCACUGCAGCCCAUCCCACAGCACAGCUGUAUCGUGAUAAAAGCAGAACGAGAGAAUAAAUGAAGGAAUGCAAGGCAGACCCCAAGGAAAGCCAAUGGAGAGGUAAAACCAAGCAGCCCCUGGAGGCCUGAGGAGAGGGUGCUAUCUCCAUCUGGGGGAUCUAGGAUGACUUCCUGGAGGAGGUGGCAUUGGAACUUUGGGGAUUCUCUGGCUGUGAAUUCAGAGGGUUCUCCUGCCUCAUUUAGACAUUCAAAGACGACUUACUAAUUAACAACUGGAGAAAGAAUUCUGCAUGCAGACUGUUUGUACCUUAGCCGAGUGUCCCCAAACUUGGGAAACACAGUAGCACUUUAUGUAGGUUUCCAGUUGAGCCUGGAAUCAGCGUGAAUUGUUGGGAGGGGUUUGGGGAGUAGGGUAGACAGGCACAGGCUCUGCAGAGCCUGGCACCACACCCCUCUCUCUUCCCUUCAGAGCACAUCUUUCCAGAGACCAUCACAUUUGAUCUUGCCGAUUAUUUGGUCAACCUCUUUUCUCUGGGCAGCGCUGAUGGGGAACAACAUAUGCUUGGCCUUCUGCCUUCCUCUCCUAUACACACCCCUACACACACCCACAUCACACCCAUUUAUCUCCAUGACAACAAGGGGAGAGAGCGUGGCCUGAUGCUUCCAGGCCUCAAUACGCGGACUUAGAGCCUAGAGACUUAGCAGUUCUGGCCCUGCAGCCUCACAAAGAAGGACUAGAGUGAUUGCAGAGGCCAGGCAUGGAGAAGGGAGGGCUUUGGGGUUGCUUGUGCCCUCAGAGAGGAGGGGUCAUUGCCCUGGGAGCCCUACUGCUGGCCGUUUCCUGAUGAAGAGGUUGGUCAUUUUGCCCCCAAACACCCUCAUCCCUUGUCAGGGAUAAGCAGCGUUUGGGGGAAGGAGGGCCGGCUUUGUAUCCAAUCCCAGCUCUACCAUUUCCCUCUUCUUGUGAGUUCUCUGAACCUCUGGAUCUGCAUCUAUAAAAGGACAACUCCUUGAAAGGACUUCUGUGACUUCUAGAAAUUGGCAUUAAAAAAAAAAAUCUAUCAACGCCUCUGUUUUAGAAACUAACCAAAUGAGAUUGGUCAAAAUCAGAGAUAGGGUGUGAGGGGUGGAGAACGUGCAAACCGGCAAAAUAGGGAAACAACUAGUCAGUCUAAUUAAGAAAAAGAGUAGAGACAAAACAAUACCAAAAUUAGGAGUGGGAAAGGGAAUAUGGCCAUUGGUAUUACACAGAGGAUGUUAUAAAACUAAUAUGAGGAUAUAUGAACCAACUCUGUAAAAUAUGUUGAAGACAAGAUCAAAUGCAUAUUUUUCUAUGAAAACAUAUACUUAACUUUAAAAAUGGCAGUUUCAGACUUCCCUUGUGGCUCACAACAUAACUGCAUAGCGUUGCUUCUACAGUGGCUGUGGCUUAACUCUUGGCUCGGGUAUUUCAUAUGCCACAGGUGUGGCCACUUGUUUAAAAAAUAAAAUAAAAAAAUUUUAAAUGACAAGUUCAUCAGAGCAAAACCCUGGGAGAAAGUGGAAGAAAAAGUCAAUGAAUUACAUCUCCAACUAAUUUGCAUCCGUGUAGGAAAACAGGCUAAAAUAGUUUCACAGACUGCUUCUUUUUUUUUCUCUUCAAAAUUUCAAGGAGUUAAUCAUUACCAAGCUAUACAAAGUAUUCCAGAAUGUUUUUUUAAUAAAUCAAUACCUAAUUCAUUUUACAAGUUAGAAUAUUGCUAAUAAUCAUGUUUGACAACGAUAAUAUCCAAAAAAUAAAUCUACAAGAUAUCACCAGUGGAUUUACAUGUAAAGAUUCUAAAUAAAGUAUGCAUAUAUAUCAAAUUUCUGAAGUGUAUUAAAAGGAUAAUAUACUAUGAUUAAGUAGGGUAUAAUCUGGGUAUGGUAGGUUUAAAAAUCAAUCAACAUAAUUUAUCAAGUUAAAAAUAGUAAAGUAUUGAGUUCCCAUUGUGUCUCAGUGGGUUAAGAACCUGACAUAGUCUCUGAAGAUGUGGGUUCAAUUCCUGGCUUUGCUCAGUGGGUAAAGGAUCCGGCAUGCCGCAAGCUGCAGCAUAAGAUUGCAGAUGAGGCUUGGAUGUGAUGUUGCUGUGGCUGUGGUAUAGGCCAGCAGCUGCAGCUCCGAUUCAAUGCCUAGCCUAGGAACUUCCAUAUGCUGUAGGUGUGCCAUGAAAAGAAUAAUAAAAUAAAAAAUAAAACAAACCUUGAUUGCACUUUUACUAUCCUAUUAAAAUACAUCUAUAUAAAAAUCCUGAAAAUAAAAAUUUCUAAACUGGAUUUCAUCAAAACAAAACAAAAAACCAUAAAAUAGUAAAAUCUUUUAAAAAACACCAUCAAGAGGAGUUCCUGUCAUGGCUCAAUGGUAACAAACUUGACUAAUAUCUAUGAGGAUUCAGGUUUGAUCCCUGGCCUCUCUCGGUGGGUUAAGGAUACGGUGUUGCUGUGAGUUGAGGUAUAGGUUGCAGAUUUGGCUAGGAUCUGGUAUCGCUGAGGCUGUGGCAUAGGCCAACAGCUGCAGCUCUGAUUAUACCCCUAGCCUGGAAACAUCCAUAAGCCACAGGUGUGGCCCAAUAAGUAAAAAUAAAUAAAUAAAUAAAUAACAUCAUUGAGAAAAUAAAGAGAUGAAUCACGGACGGAGAAAAAAUAUUUGAAAGUCCUACAUCUGAUAAGGAUGUGUAUGCAGAAUAUAUAUAUAUGUAUAUAUAUAUAUAUAUGCUUAAAAACUACUACAACUCAAUAGGAAGGUAAACAAUGCAAUUACAAAAUAGUAAAAUAUUUGAACAGACCUCUUACCAAAGAAGAUACACGAAUGGCCAAUAGGCACAUGAAAACAAGCUCAUCCUUUCUUAUAAUAUUAAGGAAAUGAAGAUUAAAAUCAAAGUGUUAUAUCACUACAUAUCUACUAGAAUGGCUCUAAUUAAAAAGACUGGCAAUACCACAUGUUGAAAAGAAUGGAGAAACAAGAAGCUUCUUAGAUCAUUGUCAGAAUAUAAAAUGGUACCGCCGCUUUGGAAAACAGCUGGACCGCUUCCUAAUCAGACCACACAGACCAACAAUUCUACUCCUGGAUGUCUACCUAAGUGAAAUGAAAACAAAGAGCCACUCAAAGACUUGCAUAAGGCAGUUCAUAGCAACAUGACCUACAAUAGCUCAAAACUGGAGACCGCUAGAAUGUCCAUCAGCUAGUGACUGGAUGAACAAACUGGUGUGUUCGGACCGGAGGAACAUUCUUAAGGAUAAAAAAAGAAUGAACAUCUGACACAGGUGACAACAUGGCGAACCUCAGACGUGUUACGUUAAGUGAAAGACGGCAGACAGCAGAUAGAAGACUCUACGUUGCAGGAUGCCAUUUAUAUGAAAUUUCUAGAAAAGAGGCAGAAAGAGAGAGAAAGCAGAUCAGUGUUCACCUGGGGCUGGGGGUGAGAGCAGAGGCUGCCUAGAAACAGAUGCCGUUGAGGAGGUGAUGGAAGUCUUCUAAAGCCUGAUUGUGGUGAUACCUUCCCAGCUGUAAACAUUUCCUAAAACUCAUCAAUCUAUACACUUAAAAUGAGUGAAUUUCAUGGCAUGCAAAUUAUAUUCCAAAAAAAGCUGUUUUUCAAUGUUUCUGAAAGGACAGGUAACAAACUGGUAAGUUGUUACCUCUGAGGGACAAAAUCAAAGGCCACAUGUUUGUUUUGUUCUUGGGUGGCUUCUACGUUUUCCUCUCCAUCAGUGGGUAUUACCUUCGUAAUAUCAAAAAUUCCCUCCAGAAAAUACAGUUCCCCAAAUAGCUCUUCACAUGGAGUGGGUGCCUGAGAAAUAGAAGGUUCCCUUUUGUUCAAAAAUCUGUCUUCUUAGGGCCAUGUACUGUCCAGCCCUCACUCUGAGCCAUCCUUCCUGUUCCAGGACAGGGUCAGGGCCCAUCCACCCUUCUGUUGGACCCUCCCAUUCUGCUCCCCAGUGACUUAAGAUAUACACAGGACAUCCCUCUUUAGGGAGAUUUUCCACUGUGGGUGGGUCGUGCCCAACCUGAGCUGGAAUCUGAUUCCGCAUGCUUCCUGCUUUAUCAGGAAUCGUUACAGCAACAGUCACUCACAAUUUGGGUGGCAUGUUGCAAUAGAUAAAGCAUUUUCCUUUUUUCUAAAGUUAUCUUUACACAAGUGUGGCAAGGCCACGAAGACACAGCGGCUCAGCCAUGCACAGUGCCCGCUCAAGCAAGUGGCAAGACGGCCUGACUCCAGAGCCUGCACUUCGGGAUUCGCACGACCUCUGGUUCUGGUCCUCCAUCCCAACCCAAGAGGCUGGCGAUGUUUGCUCCCAGUUUGCAGCUGCACAGACUGCACUCUACCUGUCGUAUCCAAGAGCCUCUAUUUGCUGUGACAUUAUAGUUGCUUCGGGGAAAAUAGCAGCGUUGUUAUGACUCCGGCUGGGGAAGGAGCCGUGGGAGCCAGGAGUCACUGGGAGGAAAGCCGUGUGGAGCAGAGUAAAAGAGGUCCAGAAAUCUGCAGAGGAAUUCCCUUGGGUCUUCAGGAGUACAGGGCCUUGCUGAGCAUCAAACUCCACAACAUCAGGUAACCAACGAAUGGGGGGAUAGUUCCCAGUAUUUACCCAGGGCGGGGAGAUCACAGGAAUGAAGAGUCCUCAGCAGUCACAUUGGUAUUUGGUGGGACCCCAGAGGGGUCACAUCCAGUAUAUUCAGCUGAACUAUCCCUAGAGUGAAGGCUAUGCCAGAUCUGAUCCAGCAACUCUCAGAAAUAGGCUGAAUGUGAUCAAAUAACCCAUAAGUAACUUAACUGCUUUUCAGAACAAAAGUCCAACUACUUUUAAAAGAAGACGACAAAAUCCAGACACUUCAACAACAUAACAUUCACUGUAUCCAUCAUCCACUAAAAAUCACCAGACUACCAAGAAACAGGAAGAGAAGCAGACUGUAUGGAAGGAGAGCCUGUCCAUACAAAGGGAUGAGAAAUAGUGGAGAUGAGGGAACUGGCCGAGAAGGAUGUUAAACGAUUAUCGUAGUCAGACAUUUCAGGGAAAGUAGGAACAACGAGAGAAUUGGGAAAUAGAAAGAAGAGCAAAUGGAACAUCUAGAGAUUAAAAAAAUACAGUAUCCAAAAUGAAUG